UUCCAGCACUGCAAUUUUCUGUAGAAGUUUGUAGAAGUCAUCCGUGAAGAAGGGGGGCAUGUUGUUGCUAAUUAGCAUUAGCUAUAACUCCAGUCACUGCAGUACAGGCUAGUGCUAUUGAUCGGCCGCCUCUCCAUUCAUUCAAUUGGACAAUGGGAAAAAAACGCAAAUGACGUCAGGCGCUUUUCUGCUCAGAGUUCAAUUUUUUUCAACUCGACCACGGGGAAAAGAUGGCGGCCGCUCUAGACAGCUUCACUCGUAGCUGAAGACAUUUUUUUUGAUUGUCACACCUGUUAACAGUACUUUGCUUAUCUCCUGACCACAAACAGUAAUGUAAUACUGCGUAAAAAAUGAAAAUACAAGAGCCAUUGUUUUUUGUUUUUUUAUUUUUGGCCGGAGAUACUUUUGGCUUAUGCUAUUUUGGACUAGCUAGCUAGCUUGCCUAGUAUUUGUUUUUCACGGCUGCAAAGGAAAACACGACAAUGUCUGAAAAAAGAGGAAGAAUCUUGGGAAAGGACAAAACAAACAAGCCAGAUAAGAACCGUCUUUUGAUCCUAUAAGUAAUACUAUCCCUUUUGGUCCGGAAAUGGAAGUAACCACUGUAGAUAUGCACUCUUAUGCAUCCCAAGAAAGUCCUGAAAAUGUGCCGAUUCCUGACUCUGCGCCGACUUCUCCUGCUCCUAAGAAAGGUAAAUCUGAGCCAACCCUUGCCGAAAUGCAAGACAACAUCGUAAGACUGCUGGCGGAAUAAAUAAAUGAAAGAGCUGACGGUCUAGAAGAGAAAGCGGGUGAUCUGGAAAAGUUGAUAAAACAAAAUUCAGAAAGUAUUAAUGCCUUGAAAGAAAAUUCAGAGUUUCUCUUCAAAGAGCUCCAAGAUAUGAAAGCAGAUGUCACAACGGUGAAGACAGCAACCGUGGCCCAUGACAGGAGGAUCGCUUGAAGCCAAGGUGAAUGAGGCUGAGCGCUAUCAGAGAAGAUGGAACCUGAGGCUCUAUGGAUUAAAGGAACAGGAAGGUGAAGAUGUCACUCAGUGUAUGAUCAAUAUCUGUCGUGCCAUCGUUCCAGAGAUUGGUGAAAGUUUUUCGCUUCCAUGUUGAUGUCAGCCACAGAGUUGGAAGAAAGAACGGUGACAAAAUUCGACCAGUGAUCACAAGAUUAAUCUCCAGAUCAACCAAAGAACUGGUAUGGAAAAAUGCAAAGGGAUCCCAGUAUCUCCUGUCCAGGAAGUUGCAGUUUGGUGAAGAUCUGACGACAAAAGACAAAGAAAGUCGCAACAGGUUGUGGCCCCAAAUUGAGGCGGCACGCAAAGAAGGAAAAAAAGCUUUCUUUAUCGGAGCCAAAGCGAUAAUUGAUGGGAAAGAGCUGCGGUCUUAAAGAUGUCGCAGAACAAUAAGUGCAACCUCAUAACACUGAACAUUAAGCUGAACAUUGAAUACUAAACCAUCACUCAUAAGGGUGUUGAUAAUCUUCUUCUCUUUCUAUUUACUGUUGAGAGUAAGAAUUAUCUUUACCAGUAGAUAUGUCUUUAUCAAUAUAUUCAUUCAAUGUGAGGGGUAUCAGAGACUUGUUGAAAAGAAAGGCUGUUUUUUUAUUUUGUAAGAAAUUUAAAGCUAAUUUUUAUUUUAUACAAGAAACACAUGCUUCAAAUUCUGAUUAUAAUUUCUGGAAGAACCAAUGGGGAGAUAAUAUUUGGAUGUCUUAUGGUAGCAAUAAGCCUGCAGGUGUUGCCAUAAUAAAAGGAAACUUUAAGGGUAGAAUCCUGAAGAGUAAAUCUCAUCUUUUUGGCAGAUAGUUAUUGCUGCAGAGCUCAAUGACAUUCUUUUCAUUGUAGGUAAUAUUUAUGCCACAAAUAUUAGCUCCAGGAAUGGAAGUCUUUUUCAGAAAUUUCUACAUUCCUAAGAUCUUUUCCUAAGGCAAAAUUAAUUCUGGGAGGAGAUUGGAAUUCCAUUAAAGACCCACUAUUGGAUUGUAGUCCUCCACGACCAACAAGAGUGAAUUACACUGCAGAGUUUGACCACUUAUGCUUAAGUCUAAAUUGUUUUGAUAUAUGGAGGUAUAGGAAUCCUGACAAAAUAUAUUUGACGUGGUGCACCAAAGAUAUAACUAAACAGUCUAGAAUAGAUUUCUGGUUAAUAUCUAGAGAAUUAGAAAAACAGAUUAUGGAUGUUUAUAUUAAGCCCUCUGUUCUCACUUAAACUUAUUUACAUUUCAGUAGUCUUAAUAACACAACAGAUGGAAAGAAACCUAAUAUGAGUUAUUGGAAAUUAAACACUAACAUUUUAAAAGAUGAACAGUUUAUGGACGCUGCUAAAUUAAUUAUUAAUGAAUGUUGGAUUAAGGCUAAAACAUUGAAAUCCUAUGGCACCCACUGGGAAUAUAUGAAAUAUAAAAUUAUCAUCAUUGUGCAAACUGUGCAGCCCUGAUGCUCUGAGUGCUUCAGGUAAAACUAGUUGAUAUGUAACCUGGUCUCCAUCCUGUCUUUUGCGGAGGUUUAACUCAUCAUGCAGCUCCAAUCGAUUCAAUUCCCUAAGCAAGAGAGGGAGCUCGGGUAGUUCCCUGCGCACAGUUGGAGGUGUUUUUUCUCCAAGUUCCAACUGAGCAAUCACCUCUCUGAUAGUUGAAUCAGCUCUCUGCUUCUCUUUAAGCUCUGUGUGAGACAGGGAAGGAAUGAUGGGUAAACCAAGUUGGUCCUCUGCCAUGUAACUCUCUGGAAUGGCAUCUGCAGAGACUGUAAGCGACUCAACAAGUGUGACACCAAAGCUGCUGGAAAAGGGGUCAUCUGCAACUCCAACAAAAUGACUUUCACAGAUCGCUCUGACAAGGUCCUGAUUCACCACUUCUUGGGUCUCUGUGUUAGCUAAGUGACGUUGAGUGAAGCGAGCUAUGCGCUCUUGGUCUUUCUUAGACUGGGCAUCGUCAAGUAGUUCUCCAUGUGGUCGUCGGGAGAGGAUUACUGUCUGUGACAACAGUAAAUUGAUUCCCACAAAGAUAGGCGUGAAAUUUCUCGGUCACAGACCAUUUGAGGGCGAGAAACUCCAGUUUAUGGGCCGGAUAACGAGACUCGCUUUGUGACAGCCCUCGACUAGCGAAAGCUAUGUCCCUAAGCCUGCCCUCCUGUUCUUGGUAUAGCGCUGCUCCAAGACCAGUAGUACUGGCGUCUGUGUGCAGGAUAUAAGGCUACUUGGGAUCUGCAAACCCAAGAACAGGGGCUGUGGUAAGCUUCUCAACGACGGUCUCAAAUGCUCUCUGGCAAUCACAUGUCCAUCGACCCUCAAAGGGUUGUCUGGGGUCAUGAUAUUGAUCUGUUCUUGCCUUGUCCUUUGAACUUUUGCGGAGUGGUGGCUAUCCGCGAGUUAGAUCAUUGAGUGGCCUGACUAUAGCUGCAUAAUCUUUAAUAAAUCGGCGAUAGUAACCUGAGAAGCCCAGGAAUGAUCGCAAUUCUUUUACAUUUUUGGGAAUUGGCCAGGUUUUUAAAGCUCUAACCUUUCCUAAACCCGUCUCAACACCAUUCUCAGACACUACAUGUCCAAGAUAACGCACACUUGUCUGGAAAAACUUUUUCAGGAGAAAAUUUCAGUCCAUACUUCUUGAGACGUGUGAGUACCCGCAUUAUCCUGCUCUCAUGCUCCUCCAGAGUCUUGGAAAAAAUGAUGAGGUCAUCCAAGAAGACCACAACUUCCUUCAAAUUCAUGUCCCCAACCCACUUCUCCAUCAAUCUCUGGAAGGUACUAGGCGCAUAUGUUAUGGCCUGCGGCAUGCAGUUGAACUCCCAGAAUCCCAACGGAGUGACAAAGGCUGUCUUGAAUUUGUCAGCUUCAUCAACCUCAAUCUGGUUGUAACCAGAUUUAAGGUCGAGCACAGUGAACCAUUUUGAUCCUGUUAGUGCAGAGAAAGUUUCUUCCAGGUUCGGGAGAGCAUAGGCAUCCUUUAUCGAUUGUAGGUUGAGCUUACCAUAGUCUAUGCACAAGCGAACAUCAUUAUUACGUUUUAUUACAACCACAAUAGGGGAGGAAAACGGAGAUUUAGACUCUCUUAUCACGCCUGCAUCAAGCAACUCCUGUAGAUGUUUACGCACUGCCCCAAUAUCUUGAGGAUGUAUAGGUAUGGCACAAUGCUUGAAGGGAGUCUCAUCAUGGAGUUUUAUAUGAUGUUUCACCUUGUCUGUACAUCCAAAAUCCAAAUCGAGUUUGAGUUUGUUUCUGUAUCAGCUGCAUUGGUCACAUUGUGCUGUGCUAGAAUGCUGUGAAAAAUCUCAUGCUCAGUGAUGACACAGGUAGGUGGGAUCGUGACAUCCUGUUACGAGUCAUUUUUAAUUACCCCAGGCACUUUAUACGGUGAGUUAGCAGGGAGGGUUAUCAGGCAACUUUUCACACAAAGUCCACCGGGCAACGAUGACUGGGUGGGGUGUUCUAUGAUGACCCAUUUGUCUGCAGUGGGGUCAUGAAUGUUGGUUGAUCCCUCCAGAACAAUGGUGUGGCUUGGAAGGAAUGACAGCUCGUGUCUUCCCUAGCAUUUUGACUAAACCCACAUUGCCAUCUUUGUUCUGAUUUUGUCUUAGUUCAAAUGUGUUCAGUACUACCCUGUAACCGUAAUGACCUGGUCGGUGGUCUGGGGUCUUCAUGUCUGAUUAUAUUUCAUAUAGGACAUCAAGUGUGUUUGUUCCUAUCAACACUGGUGACCGGCUAUCAGGGUGUACAUCUGGGACAACAAGAGCAAGGGUAGCUACUUCGAUGUCAACUUCAAGAAAGUCUUUGGGGAAUGUAACAGCCAUCUCUAUGUAACCUAGAUAAGGGAGAGAUUGUCUGGCUGCACCUUCAACCUCUAAAAGACCCUUAAGUGGUUUGAUGUCUUGACUUGAUAAGUUCUGUUUGUAAAAUGACUCUGGAACCGUAGUCACCUGAGAACCGGUAUCCAGAAGGCAACUACAAUCGGCAUCAGCUUUUCUGACAAGAGCUGUGAAUAUGGAUCCUAAUAACCCUUUUGGCAGUUUGCAGACUGGUUUCUUUGUAUAGGACUGUCUAAGUUUAACACGCUGUUUGUGCUUAGUUUCAGCUGAUUGACCCGCAACAGUCCCUGUCCGUCCCGUAACAGAGACUGUGUCUAGUUUAACUGUUCGGCUGCAGCUGUAGGGUUUUCAAUUUCUCCCUUUCGUUGUUUUUCUUUCAACAGCUUUCUUUUCUCUGCGACCAAAUCUGGGUUUGGGUCACCAUCACGGUUGGUUUUGAUGUGUCCAUCUUCGCCACAUAAGAAACAGUACCAUGGUUUCAGCUUAGAGCUUCGAUUCCUGAAUGUUUCCUGCACACGCUCUUUCAUCAGUUUCUCAGAUUUCUGUUUCUCAGCUGGCUUGCUGCCAUGAGCUCCACUGGAAUUGGGGGCUCUCUUGUUUUGUCGUCAGUGUUGCUAACUGACUUUGGAUCUCUGCUACUUGUCUACUAAGUUCAACACGUGUCCCUUUCUUUCUCAAAACUACAUGCAGUUUGUACAUGAGAUGUUGCUUUCUGCUUUGUCGUGCGUAGGUGCUGUGUCAUGUCUUCCUCUGUGCGUAACAGCAAUAACAGCUCAGUGAAGGAUGGCGGAUUCGUCUUCUUUUGCUUUAACUGAAGUUCUGACAGAAGAGAAUAAUUCCAACAUCCCCUGCAAAACUAAGUGAGAAGGUGUUUGUUGACUUCUUCACUCGAAACACCGCCCCUUUUCACAGCUAAGUUUAACGCUACCUGCAGGCGCUGCAAGUAUGCAGAUGGUUUCUCACCAGCGUCUUGAAAUGUGUCAAGAAAUUUGGCAUACAGCUCGUCACCAUCUUAAACUGUCCCAUAAGCAGAAUCUAGCAACUGGAGAUAAGCAGAAGGCAAGCUUCUAGGGUUUAAGUGCUUGACUACAUCAGCCGCUGGAGGUAAGAGGCUUUCAAGUAUUCUCCGAGACCGCUGAAGGUCUGAUAUGGUAGGAUCAGUCAUGACAAGUUCUACAUUGGAUCACCGGGAAUCAUAGUCAGGUUCAUGAGCAGGUCUGGGGACCUUUCCUGAGAAUGCAUGGAGUCUCAGUGAGGAAGGCAUUUGUAGUGCACUGUCUUCCCUUUUCACAAUAUGCUCCACUACAACUGUCUGAACUUCUGGUGGGCUGAGAUCAUGUGCAGUAAGUGCGGUAAUAUUCUGUCCAACACUUGUUGAUGCAAGAUCAGCAAUAGAUUCGCUUAUUUGGGACAUCAUGUCUUUGAGAACCUCGGCAUAAUCCCUCCCACUCAAGUUAGCAAGCCCUUUAAGUUCAACAAGAUAGGACUGAGUGGUGGUAUUUCCAAUUGUCUGUGUGUAAACGCUAGCAAAAGACUCUACCAUCAUCAGCUGCGUGAAUGUAAGGCAGUAGCGGCUUUAAGGUUUCCACGGCAACUCCAGUUAGAGAGUUGUACUCUAUGAUUAUGCUCUGGAAAAACUCUGAGGAACGGUCAUCUACUGUUAUGACUCUGUUAAUGGAACCGUACUGUUUUAGGAAAUCUACAAUUUCUUCUUUUUCAGCUCCAGCUAUUCCACUGACCAUUACAGAGUUUGGAACUUUGAUGUUGUGUAUCAAGGACAAUAUCCAUUUUCUUUUGUAGUCAGAGUGUUCAUUAAAUAUUGCAAAUCAAUUAUCUGCUCCUGGCUGGCUUGCCACUUUUAUAUAACACACGGCUCCUAACCCUAAUAAAAGGAUUACAGACAGUAAAUUAUUUAUUACAAAAUAUUACAGCUAAACUGGACCAGAAUCAGAAUUUUCUAGACUCGGCAAGGAGCAGAAUGUUGUUUGUCUGGCAGGUGGAAUGAGCCUCACUGAACACCGAACUGAUUUUCACGCGGGGUUUUUUGCUGCAAAGGUCAUACAUGUAGCUAUGACACAGGAUACAUGGUUCGGCGUAUUUUAAUAUUCAUAGUGGGCUUAACAGUAAUAGAAUAUUCUGAUAUAUGAUAUAAAGUGACCAGAUGUCCGAGAUCAAAACUGGGAACAUAAUCCCCGAAAAGGGAAAAACGGGGACAUUUCCAGUUUGACUAUCAAAUGUUUUCUAUUUUAAAUUAAUACUAUUACUUCUAUUCAAAGUUUUUUUCUGUAUUGAGCCAGGGUAAGGGAACCAAAAAACGGGAACUGUCCCUGUAGCCUGGUACGUCUGGUCACCCUAUGAUAUGUGAUGUAGGUUAUGAUAGGUAUUUUGCAAAUCACAUACUAUAAAUAUGAUAGUGAAGCAGAAAUAGAUAGUGAGAGUAAAGUCAGAUAUUUUAAUAAUUUGAACCAAUACAAUAUAUGAUUAACAAACAAACAAUAUACGAUUAAAUGAUAUCUCCAGUAUACUUGAAGCUUUUUAUAUUUGUCCCUCUCUGUCACACACACAGUGUACUAACACUUUCUUCUGCAUCCAUCUCCUCCCGGCCCUUGACAUUUAGCAGCCCAACACACACACACACAGACACAUAUGAAAGCUUUGCAUGAGCUAAAACCCCUGAAAGAGAACUUUUUUGCAGAGCUUCUUUCUCGUGCUCCCUUUCUGCAGUUCAAGAGAGGUGAGUUUGGCAACGUGGUGCAGCCUUAUCCUGAAAAACACAGACACAACCAAUGACAACAAGUCAGAAUGAUGGUUGUCGAUGCCAAACUGUGUCUCCUCAAUGUGUUCCCAAGCAGAAAAACAUCCUCUGUUCCAAUCUCCUCCCGGACGAUGUGUGUGACUGUCGACACCUUAGGAGCUUGCACUGUUGAAGCUCACCCUCUCUGCAGAUCUCAGCACCUUAUUAUGAUAAUAAUAAUAAAAACAUAAUACAUUAUAUUUAUAUAGCGCUUUAGACAGUGCUCAAAGACACUCGGAACAAAGCAACCUUAAUAUACAAAUAUGGAAUAUGAUCAAUAACGCGGUGAAAUACAUAACGGAGAAACUGGAGGCUUCUGGUGAGUACAGCUAGCUAACUAGUAAAACAGUUCACUGUAACCCGAUUAUGAUUUUAGAUCAGCUUUAUUGUUAUUAAUCAUUGGUAAUGUCAGCUCAACAUAAUGUUUGCAAUUGAGAUUCUUAUGACUGGAAGUCAUGGGAAGGGAGGGGCCGUGUGAGAUGUAGCAAUCAUAAGUUACUUGUAUCCUAGAUGGCUAUAGCUAGAUGGCAAGUUUCCUCGAACUUCAGUUGAAUACCCAACGGUCAAAAUGUAGCCAUAGUAAGCUACUGAGUAGAGAACAGAGGGAAAAUAGCUAAAUUUGACAACUGAACAUGCUCUUUUGAUGUAUGUGGGGUAUUAAUGGCAAGUUAAAUGAUUACUUUUAUUAUAUUAUUAUUAUUAUUAUUAUUAUUAUUAAUAACCAGGUACUAGGCAGGAUAAAUAAAAUAAAUAAUUAUAUUACCUUUUAGUUAAUUGGUCUUAAAAUCCUAAGAACAAUUAUAAAUCAUAAAGUUACUGUUGAGUAGUGGUAGCUGGAUCUAUUGUUUGUUACAGAGACUAUGGUGAAAGCAAUGAUGGAGACCAUGAGGACUCAAUACAGUCGAUACCUGAAGUCAAAGCCAUCAGGCAGUGAUACAUGAUGAUCAGGGUACAUUAUCCACCCCUGUUUUGUGACUUUGUGUGUAGGCAGUAUUUAUAAAUAAGACCCCCUGGCCUGUAAGCAGUAGGCUAUAUGAUAUAGGCUUAUGAUGAUAAAUUAUUAAUGCAUAGCGUUACCUUGAGAUAUUUUUCACAAAGAACUUGAUGGAUGGCCACACAGGUUUCAGGAACAAACGUACGAAUUGUUGAGCAACCAAUCGGAAAUUGGUAAGAAAGGCUCUGGAAGGUUUCACCUGUAAAAGAAACCCCAAACAUGUUAGGUAAUGCGUUUCACUUCAUCUAAGUGUAUUGUAUGAGUAAAGUAGGCCUAUAUAGACGUAGGCUAGUCUAUAUACAUUUUAGAACCUCGCCUGUUGCCAGGAAUCUUAAACUGAUGAUACACGGAGCUACUUUUUGAGCAAUCAUGCUGGGCAACAUUGCCAUCAGUGGUAAUGAGUAAAGAUUACUGCCGUAAUCCCCUUCCCCCACCACUCCGCCACCCGACUCACUCCGCCGCUAUCCGUUCAAAACAUAGUUGGACUUGCCACUAGCAAGAUUGCCCAGCAACAUUGCUCAAAAUGUUGCCCCGUGUAUCAUCAGUUUAAAGUCACCAUGAGGCGUUCACCGGGAGAAAUGCAGUCUCUGACAUUUGUGUUUUUUCUGGCAAUGAGUGGAGUAGCCUAACCAUGGUCCGUAAAGGCUUGAAAGCCGGAGGCACAAAACGGGCAAAGUUCAAAAAAUCACAGCAAAAUGUUGCCUUUGUACCGCUGUAGUAAAAAAACAUUAUCAAUGGAGAUAUUAUGAGUCACCAUGGCAACAGCGUCAGACAAAAAGAGGUCGCCAUAUUUCUCCCCAGCAGAACUGGAUGUGCUUAUGAAAGCAUAUGCAGAAUUUGAACACGUUUUUUUUUUUAAAAAGCAACACGGCUGCAGCCGCGAAGGACAGACAGUUAGCUUGGGAGAAAAUAGCUGCUCGAGUCAAUGCGUAAGUUUACAUUUUAAUUACUUUUAUACAGUGUUGGGUGUAAUUAAUUACUAAGUAAUCUAAAUAGGGGGUGCUAAUGGAUAAGACACAUGCCUUUGGUGUGAGAGACCCGGGUUCAACCCCCCACUCUGACCCAUCCACCAUUGUGUCCCUGAGCAAGACACUUAACCCCUAGUUGCUCGAGAGGCGUGUGACCUCUGACACAUAUAGCAAUUGUAAGUCGCUUUGGAUAAAAGCAUCAGCUAAAUGAAUAAAUGUAAUGUAAAUACUGUAAUUUAAUUAAAGACUAUAAAACAAUAGUGGAUUUAACAUCAAAUUUUAAAAGGUAUAUUUUUAAUGUAACCUUCUCCCUCUAGUUACACUUUGGUCAAUUCAAGAAUAAUUUAUGCAAUUGGAUAUUGUUUAUUUGAAAGCAUUAGAAGUGCAGUUUCUUGUCUCUCCUAAUAGUAAUUAUUACAUUGAUCUAACUAGACUUGUUGAAGAUGUAAUUUGUGGUUGGUAAUUAAGAACUAUUUUAGACUGUUAUAACCCAACUGUCAUAAAGUCAGAGUUGAAACUGGAAGAACAGUAUUUUAUUAAACCUAUUAAUUUAAUUUUCAUGUCUAGGUGCAAUCCUGCAGGCAUUAAAAGAACGUGGCAGCAGUUGAAAAUGAAAUAUAAAAACAUAAUUCAAUCAGCCAACAGAAAGAAGGCAGAGGCUUGCAAAACUGGGGGAAGGACCUGCACCACCACCUCUGACAAAUGCAGAGGAGAUGGCCCUGAGCCUGAAUGCGGGAAGGCCAAUGGCUGAGGGAAUACCUGGAGGGACUUCAUCAGAGCCAGUCACUCCAGAAGAUUUAAGUGCCUUCAUAAAAUAUUCGGAUGGUAAUAUCUGUCUCUUGGAGCCUCCUGUCCCAACAGAACCCCAGGCAGUUGAUGAUGGGGAUGAAGAAACCGUUUCUGCUGCCACAGACAGGCCUACAGAGAGUGUGGAAGAACAGCAGGAGGAAGGCCCAUCAACUUCUGGUGCACAGAUGAACACAUUGCCAGUUAAGGAGUUAUAUAGACUUCUUCUUAUUAAAAAGAACAGCAAAGAACUUGUAUACUUGGACUGCCAGAUCCAAAAGGCAGAUCUGGAAAUCAAGAUUCUGAAACAAAAGCUAGAGGUGAAUGUAUGGUCACAGGUGAAUUCUAGGAAGUAUUGAAACUAUAUUAAAAUCUAACUUUUUUUUUUUUGUAAGAAAUGAAGAACACCAUAUAAAUUGCUGUGAUUUUGUGUUUAUUCAUUUUUGUUUUUGUGGUGGUGGAUAUCAUGAUUGAUCUGAGAAGACAUUGCGCCAUCCUGGAAAUCUGCAGGAUUGAUGGGGUCUUCCUCUGGGUCUUGUAAUUGUAGGACAGGGUGUUGCUCCCCUCUAAUUAUGGCAAUAUUAUGGAGAACAACACAUGCCACAAUAAUAAUAAU